GCCGUAGCGAAAGCGAGUCUGAAUAGGGCGCAUAAGUAACAGGUCGUAGACCCGAAACCAGGUGAUCUACCCAUGUCCAGGAUGAAGGUAAGGUAAUACUUACUGGAGGUCCGAACCCACGCACGUUGAAAAGUGCGGGGAUGAGGUGUGGGUAGCGGAGAAAUUCCAAUCGAACUUGGAGAUAGCUGGUUCUCUCCGAAAUAGCUUUAGGGCUAGCCUCGAGGUAAAGAGUCAUGGAGGUAGAGCACUGUUUGGACUAGGGGCCCUUCUCGGGUUACCGAAUUCAGAUAAACUCCGAAUGCCAUGUACUUAUACUCGGGAGUCAGACUGCGAGUGAUAAGAUCCGUAGUCGAAAGGGAAACAGCCCAGACCACCAGUUAAGGUCCCCAAAUAUAUGUUAAGUGGAAAAGGAUGUGGGGUUGCUUAGACAACCAGGAUGUUGGCUUAGAAGCAGCCACCAUUGAAAGAGUGCGUAAUAGCUCACUGGUCGAGUGACCCCGCGCCGAAAAUGUACCGGGGCUAAACAUAUUACC
rnacentral:rRNA from 1 species